GUUCGAACCUGUUGGAAGAAGCAGCGUGCCUGGACUAUCCCCUGCUUAAGAACCAGAACAGCACAGCAGCGGGUUGUUAUUGUGUCAAGCCAGGAUAGGCUGCAGGAUAAGCCAGUGGUGUGUAAUUUGAUUUGUCCAACGUUCAACAUUAGCUUCAUUUAGGGUUAACGAUCUUCCACCACAUCCAAGUGGUGAAACUAAUGACACACUGGAAAUGGAGAGACAGGAGCUUCUUAACGAGGUAAAGAAGAACAACCGUAGGGUGAUUCAAGAAAAAAUGGCCAAAACAUUCUCCUAUCGAAGGCUUGAGGUUGUGAGUGGUAGUCCAGGAGCCGAUGACUGCAAAGAGAGAUGGCCUGCUUUUUUUGUGAAGCUGAGGUCAAGGAGGAAUUUAGAAGAAUAACAACAGUUUCCCUGGAGCAGAGGUUCAUGUUUAAACUUGAGCACUACACACCAAAACUUACUGCCCUGAUGAAGGCCAAGGGAGGUGUCAUGGGGACCAAGCUGAGGCCCAUCCUGGACAAACUGAGCCAGGUCUUGAAACCAGCAGCUCGGAGGAGGACAGUACACAGCCCAGCAGUAUAACACAUGAGGUGUGCGUCCAGGACGAGAUCUUUGCGUCCCGCAAUAGCGACAUUUCCUGGACAAGCAGAGCAGAAGAUCGUGCAGGAGGCAGACUGCCAGCACGACAUAUCCUGAGGACACCUCCAGGACCAACGAGGCUGUGCAGGGGACAUUCUUUCUGCCUUCAAGGCAUUCAUGCCAAGACGAGUAGAAAGAAUCAUUGUCACUAUGACAAACCUAGAAGGGAGAAAGCAGUUUUCCAGCAGCUGGGUGGAACUGACCUCCAUAGAAUUUGAUGCCUUCCUCGGCGUCUGCAUUCUCGCAGGCGUCUUCAAAUGAAAAGGAGAGUCAAUCGCUAGCCUUUGGGACUUGAACGUUGGGAGACCAAUCUUCCCAGCGGUCAUGAACAGGGUGCGGUUCGGGCAGCUGACAUCGGCCCUCAGAUUUGACCACAAAAGAUCACGGCAAGCAAGAAGGACGAUGGACAGGCUUGCACCCAUCAGAGACAUCUGGGACCUGUGGUCAGCAAAUCUCCCUGUCAUGUAUAAUCUCGGCCACGACUUGACAAUGGACGAGCGCCAGGUACCAUUCAAAGAUGCGUUCUUGCAGGACGCUGCUCCUUCAGGCAAUAUAUGCCUCGCAAGCCCGGGAGGUACGGACUGAAACUCUGGGUGCUGUGCGACGCCAGGACGAGCUACUGCCGGCGAGUGAAGUUGUACACGUGGAAGCCUCCGGGGGAGGCACGGGAAGUCGACGUGGCGAAAAAUGUGGUGCUGGAACUGUCUGAGGGGCUGAGGGGGCACAACAUUACUUUUGAUAAUUUCUUUACCUCCUUCAGUCUGGGACAGGAGCUCCUCCAGCGUCACCUUACGAUGGUAGGCACUGUGCGCCGAAAUCGUCCAGAGCUGCCGCCUGCUCUGCUAACAACUAGGGGCAGGCGGCUACACUCCUCCAAAUUUGCAUUUUCCCACAAUACGACACUCGUGACUUACAUCCCCAAAAACAACAAAAACAUGCUUCUAAUGAGCACGUUCCACAAUAAGCCAAACAUCACCCAACGGCAAGACAGAAAGCUGGAAAUCAUAAUUGAUUAUAACAAAACUAAGAGGGGGGGGGGG